AGUGAACGCUGGCGGCGUGCUUAACACAUGCAAGUCGAACGAGAACGGGUUAUAGCCUGCUAUAAUUGUCAGCUGAGUGGCGCACGGGUGAGUAAUGUAUAGGUAAUAUGCCUCUUACUAAGGGAUAGCAAAUGGAAACGUUUGCUAAUACCUUAUACUCCUUAUUAACAGAAGUUAAUAAGGGAAAGAUUUAUUGGUAAGAGAUUAGCCUGUAUUGUAUCAGUUAGUUGGCGGGGUAAUGGCUUACCAAGACUAUGACACAUAACUGGUUUGAGAGGAUGAUCAGUCACACUGGAACUGAGACACGGUCCAGACUCCUACGGGAGGCAGCAGUGGGGAAUAUUGCACAAUGGACGAAAGUCUGAUGCAGCAACGCCGCGUGGAGGAUGACACAUUUCGGUGCGCAAACUCCUUUUAUAUGAGAAGAUAAUGACGGUAUUAUAUGAAUAAGCACCGGCUAACUCCGUGCCAGCAGCCGCCGUAA
rnacentral:rRNA from 1 species